rnacentral:rRNA from 1 species
GAUAUUGGUCAAUAGCCUAACGGCUGAACCAGCAACUUGGAAGAAUGUAUAGCAAUAGCUAUUUAUGCUAAAAAUAUUUAGUGUAUAAUCGACUCUGUCGAAUWWAAUUCUGGGUAGAAAUAUGAUAAUGACAUUAUCUAUCCAUAAGUCUUGACCAAAUUACGUGCCAGCAGUCGCGGUAAUACGUAAAAGACAAGUGUUAUUCAUCUUUAAUAGGUUUAAAGGGUACUUAGACGGUAAAUAAAGCCUCCAAAAGGUACUAGUUUGCUAGAGUUUUAUGUGAAGGAGUUUUAAAGUACUACUGGUGUAGAGAUGAAAUUCAGUCAUACCUUACAUGGCACAGGUUAAGGCGAAAGCAUCUUCUUAUGUAAAAACUGACGUUGAAGGACGAAGGCUUUGUGUCUCGAACAGGAUUAGAUACCCUAGUAGUCUAAGCAGAAAAUGAUGAAUGUUAUAGAUUAGAUUUAAUUUGAUCUAUAAAUGAAAGUGUAAGCAUUCCACCUCAAGAGUAAUUUGGCAACAUUGGAACUGAAAUCAUUAGACCGUUUCUGAAACCAGUAGUGAAGUAURUUGUUUAAUUUGAUAACCCGCAAAAAACCUUACCACGAUUUGAAUAGAUAUAAUUUAUCAUACAAGCGUUGCACGGCUGUCUUCAGUUAAUGUCGUGAGACUUUGGUUAGUUCCAUUAAAUUAACGUAAACCCUUACGUUAUUYUKAUAUAAAGUAGUUCACCACUAUAUAGGAUGUGAUAACAGGGAUCAAGACAAGUCAUCAUGACCUAA